rnacentral:rRNA from 1 species
GGAGACGACAGGGGCGGAGACGCCUUCUUCCACGGACGUCUUCCGAGGUGCUGCAUGGUUGUCGUCAGCUCGUGCCGUGAGGUGUCGGCUUAAGUGCCAUAACGAGCGCAACCCCUGCCGACAGUUGCUAACGGGUAGAGCCGAGGACUCUGUCGGGACUGCCGGCGCAAGCCGCGAGGAAGGCGGGGAUGACGUCAAAUCAGCACGGCCUUUACGUCCGGGGCGACACACGUGUUACAAUGGCCGGUACAGCGGGAAGCCAGGCGGCGACGCCGAGCGGAACCCGAAAACCGGUCUCAGUUCGGAUCGGAGUCUGCAACCCGACUCCGUGAAGCUGGAUUCGCUAGUAAUCGCGCAUCAGCCAUGGCGCGGUGAAUACGUUCCCGGGCUUUGUACACACCGCCCGUCAAGCCAUGGGAGCCGGGGGUGCUUGAAGUGCGUCGCCGCGAGGCGCGCCUUAGAGCAAAACCGGUGACUGGGGCUAAGUCGUAACAAGGUAGCUGU